rnacentral:misc_RNA from 1 species
CGUAUUAGGGCUGCCUCUGGCGCUCUUUACACACCCACCCAUUGCCUAUGCGUACCUCUGAUAGCUUCCUCGGCGGGCUCGCCCCGCCGAUAGGAACCCCCAUAACCCUUUGCAUCGUACACGAAAACUUCCGAUACCCACCUGAAUUAUCA